AUUUCAAAUGGAGGAAUCAUCUCUACAGCUGCUGCUGGUUGUGAUCUCACUGCUGAGAUGUACAACAAACCAAGCCUCUCUGACUGUGAGUCCCAGCAAAUCUCAGAUGUUUAGAGGACAGGAUGUCUCUCUGAGCUGUGAGGAGGACGACAGCUCUGCUGGAUGGACUCUGAGGAGGAACACAACCAGAGAAAACAGGACUCAGUGUGGAGAUGACUGGGGAAAAACUGCUGGUUCUUCCUGUAAAAUCAGCUUAAUUAUUCCAGAGGACAGUGGA
rnacentral:lncRNA from 1 species